rnacentral:lncRNA from 1 species
CUCAGAACUGCGAAAGAUGAUGAAGGGGGCUCAAAAUUCUGCUAGUUAGCAAGGAUGGGUUACAUGAUCAUUGUUUCGCUAGUGCGGGCAAUCGGUGAUUCCUCAGUCCCUGUUUCAAUAACGAAGGCCAGAAAAGAUCAUCUUGUGAAAAGUCAGAAGUAGUGGAAUAAAAUGAUUCCACUGCAUCAGAAAAAAGUUAUCAAAUUCAAAACAGAAACUGCAAAGGAUUCAUUAAUUACAAAGUGUGACACAGGCAUGCAGCGGUGUACAGAGGCAGUAAGGAUUGUGGUCCCCCUUGCUCAGAUGGAGAGGCGCAGACAGCACCUGAUGCAGCAAACAGACCGACCGACAUCAAGAAGAGGAUGUGGAGUGGCAGGAUGAAAGGCAGCAGAAAAUUGCAUGAAAGUAAAUGCAAGAUCUCAAGUAGCCUCAUUGUCUGAGCUCAUUUAGCUUAAGGUCAC